CUUACCGCACUCACUGCCUGUAGGCUAUUUAAUAUUGAUGCUUUGCUUGGGGAGUGAGCUACCUUGAAGGAGCAGAGUCUAUACCGCGAAGACUUGCAUUAUUCAUUGCUUAAUACAUGGUUAAAUGUAUUUCUACGUACCGUUUUCUUUCUGAACUGGUUUUAAAGGCCAUUCUAGAAUUCAACAAUGCUGUGGUAUAAAUAUACUUAUAACUUAACACGAACAGAACGUCAAUAGAGGAGAGAAGACAUAGGGUGGUCUCUCAUCCAGAGCAGCCUGAUGGAAUACCCUUUAAGAUCAAAUACCGGGAGGGAGCAGAUUAGGAGAUUCUGGUUCUCUGAAUCCAUUCAGAUGAUGUUUGAUUUUGUGGGGGAGGAUGAUGCCGCGAGUGAGGUUUUUACCCUCCAGGCAGCAGCGGACUUCGCAACCCUGAAGAGCACGAUUAACGGGUCAUUGGAGGAGCAUGACAUUCGGGAGUCAACAACACUUUAUGUGUAGGUGAAUAUAUUUGAUGUUUGUAUCUGACUACAGUUGAGCUACUUGAUAGUUGUAACCAGGGUUGGGGAGUAACAUGUAAUCCGUUACAUGUAAGAGAUUACAAAAACAGUAACUGUAAUCAGUUACGUUACCAGCGAAAAUAUUGUAAUCAGAUUACAGAUACUUUUGAAAAACUAGAUGAUUACUUGGAUUACUUUUCAAUUCAGAAAGGAUGUUUGCAAAAAAAUAUCUUUGACUCUUCUCUGUUUUCUCAAUGACAUUCAAAUGUGUUUGAUGGAUCGCUGGAAAAAAGACUUAUAGGCUUUUGUAGGCUACUGUCCAAACUAUGUCUUCCAAUGGUGCGACUGCUGUCGGCAUCCAAAGAUUAUCCAACUUGAAUAAACGCUUGGCGGGUAAGGAUUACAGCAGUGGUGGAGUCUACGGCGAUAUGGAUAUCACUUAUUAUUGAUAUCUACAUAGCGCAUUGAUGUGAAUCACACUGCUACUCUCUCAAUUAGCUAUUUGCGCCUUACGGAUUGUGGUUGUUGUGGAUGAUCUAAAAUCUAAAUGUGUAUUUGAACCCAAUAAUGGUUGAAUUCAAAAAGUUUAAGCUGCCUAUCAAUCAUUGUUUUUGGAACCAGUGGACAGCCAGUGAAAAAUGCGCUCUUGCAACAGCUGCAUAGUGUGGAUCCCAGCCUAUGGAAUAAAAGUGUGGCUUUUAAUGCUCAAUCUAAUUCAUGCUGAUUUUUUUUUAAAUAAAAAAAUCCAUAGGCCUAAUGAACACAUGCUCAAACUCGCACACGUUUGAUAGACUUAAUGAGGCAAUUCUUUGACUUAUAAAUUAUAUAUAUUAAUAUAUAGAUAUAAUUUAAUCGUAUUUUUAUAUGUAGUAAAAGCAAGGGGUUAGAAGAAGCCUACAUAACCAACCCAUUAAGUCAAAUUUAACAUCCACGUUGGUUAAUGUGUACUGUCCCUUUAAAAAAUCAAAUAAACUCAAACAUAUAAGGCCAGCUAUCUAAACUUUAACAUUGAUUUAUCCUGCAAUAUGGUAGAUGUUGUUCAAUUGGUAACAUACAUUUUUGUCUCCUUCAAAUAGCUCUUAAGGGGAAAGUAAUCUAAAAGUAACGGAAUGUAAUCAGAUUACGUUACUAAAUUUGCCUAAUCAAAAAGUAACAUUACUGAUUACAAUGUUGGACAGGUAACUAGUAACUAACGGAUUACAUUUAGAAAGUAACCUACCCAACCCUGGUUAUAACAUUUGUGUGUGGUUGUUUCUGUCCAUUUACAGGCAAUCCUAUUGCCUCAUCUCUCACCUGCCCCCCUCUCAACACCUCUCACCUGUGCUCUCUUCUUGCCUCUCACCUGUCGUCUAACCUGUCCCCUCUCCUCACCUCUCGCCAGCCUCCUCUCCAAUCACCUCCUUCAUCACCAAACUUUCCUUCUCAUCACCCCUCACCCUUAACGUCCUCACUCUUUUCUUCCUUUCACCCCUCACCUCUUACUCACUUUCUCCUUCGCCCUCACCUUCACCUCCCUUGUCUCCAUCAUCAGAUCCACAGACUAAGUUAGUUUUUUUUAAGAGCAAAAUGUAGUAUUUAAAAUCUCAAUGUCAGAGUUGUCUCCCUUAGGAUCAGGACAACUGCCCCAUCGCCAACAUGAUGAAUGUCCACAGGGGCAACGUCCUAAACAGUAGCCUCCACAGGGGCUACAAUAGACGUUACCUUUGUGGACGUUGAGUCCACGGCGGAGGGGGCAGUUGACCAAGGGCGUCCCUCCAGGGAGUAUUACAGGUUCCUCAUGAGGAACAUCAGGGACUCGGCCAUCUUCGAGAGUCUGGAAGGAGUGAAACGGCUAUCCCUCGAUGUCCAUGGUAAGCCUUCUUUUUUCUUUUUAGCCGUAUUAAGGUCUGAUUUUCAUGUAAAAUACAGAAUGUAAGCCAAAACAAUUAGCAUCACGAGGGCCUGUAUGGAAGCAUUGGGAAAAUGGUCAGUGUUUGUGUGGUCCAUGGAUGGGUUGGGCCACACUUCUUCUCUGAGUGACUCAUUGCUGCAGUGUGUGGGAAGCCUGCUCCUCCACUCAGUCUGGAGGAGGUGAGCCACACUACGCUGGAAGCAAAUUUGGGAAAUGUAAGUUUUAUGUCCUCCCUAACAGCAAAAGGAAAUAAUAGAUCAUGCUUUUUUCCAUGUAUGGUUUCUUUUGCUGUGUUUAAAAUUCUCGAUUGCCUGUUAUGCAUUUUUUUGAAAUUCUAGUUCAAAUAAGCAGAGGACCUGUCAGAGGUAAAGAAUAAGUUGGAGGAAUCGGUAGACUGGCUGAGCCUACUGGGGCUGAAAAGGAUUGUUAUCAAGUGUGGUUGAAAUGGUGGCUCAACAAUUUGUCCAAGGGAGCAUGCAGAUGGCCUUGGAGCAGCAUUGGGAACCACCCGGACAGCUUCCGAGCACUUUUUGUGGACUCCGUAAAGCUUCCCACUGCCAGGGACCCGAGGGACCUGUUUAAAGUAACCUAUUCCAUAUCUGGCGGCAACCGGCGGUGGUUGGAGAACGAUGCCAUCUGUCACUGGUUCAACUGGCUGGCCGAUAGUAGUUAAAUUGUUCAAGUUUAUCACUAACUGCAUAUUAUUCCAUUUGUGAUUUAAAUGUUUAUUUUAAAUGUUUUACUGUGUACUCUUUAGAUGGAGAAUGUCCACCUCUAACAGUGGCGAUGGUGUUGGCAUUUGCUCCUGGGGCAACAGUGGUGACACCCCGACCAUCAAAUUCCUCCACACAGCACAAGGGAGUCUUGCUGGGCAGCAGAAGAAAAAGUACCCAGAGGCAAACACAUGUGCUGUGACACUAAGGCUCCCUCUUCUUAGCACCUACAAUGCCUUUAGGGAUUACAUGGUCUCCGGUAUUGUGAAUUCCCCACAAUUCGGUGUUGCAUAAACACACCUUAGUGGAGAGUGACACAAUAGUUAGAACAUUAGAGGGUGAACGACUUGUAUUCACAAGUCUGUGAGACUUGUUCUGCCUUCCUUCUCCCACCGUUUCAUAUAUGUACUAGCUAUGUACUGAAGAGUUGUACAUUUCCGCCCCUGUUCUUUGAAUGUCGUAAUGUACCUCUUUUCUGCCCACUUGUCAGACUAAUGGAGACAAGUGAGCAGAUAUAUUUUGCAGCUUAAUUCAUUGUUUUUCAAAAAACAUUUAAGCAUUUAUCUAUUUACCGUCUAUGUAUUGUUAGUACAAUGCGUUUAGAAAGUAUUCAGACCCCUCUUAUUUUUCCACAUUUUAUUACGUUACAGCCUUAUUCUAAAAUAUAUAUAUUUUUUAAACUCCCUCAUCAAUUUACACACAAUACCCUAUAUUGACAAAGCAAAAACUGGUUUGUGGACAUUUUUGCAAAUGUAAACAUACAAAACAGAAAUACCUAGUUUACAUAAGUAUUCAGACCUUUUACUCAGUACUUUGUUGAAGCUCUUUUGGCAACGAUUACAGCCUCAAGUCCUUUUGGGUAUGACGCUACAUUUUUAUUUAUUUAAUACAUUUUAGAAUAAGGCUGUAACAUGACAAAAUGUGUAUAAAGUCAAGGGGUCUGAAUACUUUCUGAAUGCACUGUAUGUCCGUAUUGGCUGUUAAUGUUCACGUAAUGAUCAUUAAUAUUACAUUAAUUAUACAGUCCAUAUUGUUUGUCUUGGUGUUUUAUGGUUAAAUUUUUCAGAAACAUUUUACUGACACUUCACUAAUAACCAAAAUCAUUUGCUGAUAUUGACUGAAGUACUGCUGCCAUAUUGCAGCCAACUCAUCCAAAUCUGAUAAUUUGAUGUCCUACAUUUAAGAACAAAUUAACUUAAACCAUUAUCAUUUAAUUAGAACUACAUGCAAUGAUGACAUUUCCCAUCCAUUGCAUUAAGUAACAGCUCCACUUCUGGGAACUGCACCUUCGUAGUGACUUAUCCAAUUCCAAAUGCAUUGAUCUAAGAACUAGAUCAAUUAGUCCAAGGCUCUCUAACCCUGUUCCCGGAGAGCUACCCUCCUGUAGGUUUUCAAUCCAACCUCAGUUGUAACUAACCUGAAUAAUUUAUUAACCAAGUAAUAUUAAAAUCAGGUGUGCUGGAUUAGGGUUGGAAUGAAAACCUACAAACUCUACAGGAACAGGGUUGGAGAGCCCUGCACUAGUCUUCAACCACAUUAUUCAAACUGUCACAAUGUGUCAACAAUGUUAUGUUACUAACUAUAAUAGGCUGCUGUUAAUCACAAUUAUAUACAAUUAAAAUGUAACUGGGGCCGCACCACCGGUCCAGUAGAAUCCCUAUCUUCAUCAGUUAACUGUAGGGCAUUCCACACAAUUAUUUAUUUUAACAAUUUAUAAAAGUCCCAAUUGGCCAUUACAAAAGAUAAUGUUUGUUUUAAUAUUGUCCAUUCAGAAUGUUCUGCUGCCCUCCCACGGCAUGCGCACUCUGAAGGCUCCAAUCCAGUGCUUGCAGUAGGCCUCUCCUGGGUCGUGUUGUACUGAAGUGGAAGACAAAUAGUAUCAGCAGUAUCAGCAGAUGGGGCUGUUUUGCUAAAGCGCCAUAGAGCAAAAUACAAUUAACCUCAACCAUAGGCCGUAUAUGUUAAAAGUACCUGACUCUCUCCAAAUAUGACCAAACAAAAUCGUAAAGGAAGGGAGAGGUACUUAACUAUGGUCCCCAUCCGUUUAGAAUAGAAGGUGUCCGUCGUACCUUUCUGAAGACCGAAUCAUACAGUGUGUGAAAUACGGGGGAGGGUGAAAGGGGUUUCCAAAAGCAGGAUAUGGUAAUGGCAAAGAAAAAAACUAUAAUGAAUAAUAGUAGAUAAAUCCACUACUCAACAGGGAAAUAAACAAAGCAUGAUAAUGUCAUUCAAAAUCAAAGGUCAAUUGAGAGGCGGGGUAUGUGUUGAAUGGAGAAGAAUAAAAUGAAUUGAUUCAACAGAACGAGUGGCACUGAAGAUAUAGCGUCCAAUCCCUCGUUCCAAUAGGGGAGUAUCAGGGGUGUAGUAAGUCAGGUCGGAGUAGGAACGAGUGGCGCUGAAGAUAUAACUCCCAUAACCCUCUGUAGAAUGUCAACUCCCAGGCUGCCUCUGGGGCCUUCAAAUGGAUGUAUUGUCCGCAACAGUUCCAUCUGUGUGUUGCUGAUGGUGAACUGGAUUUCUGGCACAAUCACCCCUUCCGACCAAUAAAGAGCUGCAGUGAUAGUGGUUGGAGGAGCUAAAGUGGUGGUUGUAGGAGCUGAGGUGGUGGUGGCUUAAGAAGGGAUGGUGGUUAAAGCUGGAGCGAACAAAUCCCUUAUUGCUGUCAGAUCGGCCCUCUGCAUUGCCACGGAACCUGAGACGAACAACUGCAGAGGUGACUGGGGAUUCCACUGACUGGCGAACACAGCAAGAUCUCUGUUCACCCGUGGCAGGAACACAAAGUGCAGUGCCUCCAUCUCCAAGAAGGUGAACAGGUCAUGGUAAACGUUGGAGACUCCAUGCCAGAAGUCCCCACACAGCCGCUCUAUCCUCUGGUUGUGAGUGCUCCUUCCCCUGCGGACACUUCCCCUCUCACCACCCCUGACCUGCUCCAUGAAGGCACAGGUACGGUUGUUUUCACCACCCGGUCACAUCUCACCCGGGAUGGUACUCUGUAGCUGGUGAUGGCUGCUUCGAAUGACUCCAUGACUGUGGCACUCCUGUUGUUGUCAGAGGCCUUCAGAAACACAACAAGACCCACAACGACCCUCCACCUAAAAAACAAGAUACAUUUGUUUUACAAAUAUUUAUUUUCUCUUAUAGUGACGCCAUGCAGUUUUUAUUAUUGAUAACAUUAUUACAGUUACAGUGCCUUAAACACUUAUUGCACACAGUGUGAGUCAAUGCAACUUAUGUGACACAUUUUUAUUCCUGAACAUAUUUUGGCUUGCCAUAACCAAGGAGUUGAAUACUUAUUGACUCAAGAUACUUUGCCAUUAUGGGGUAUUGUGUGUAGGCCAGUGACAAAGUCUCAAUUUAAUCCAUUUUAAAUUAGGUGUCCUGGAGGGCAGGUAGUUUGCCCCCGGUGAUGCGUUGUGCAGACUGCACCACCCUCUGGAGAGCCUUGGGUUGAGGGCGGUGCAGUUGCCGUACCAGGCAGUGAUACAGCCUGACAGGAUGCUCUCAAUUGUGCAUUUGUAAAAGUUUGUCAGGGGUUAAGGUGACACAUUUCUUCAGCUUCCUGGGUUGAAGAGGCGUUGUUGCGCCUUCUUCACCACACUGUCUGUGUGGGUGGACCAUUUCAGUUUGUCUGUGAUGUGUACACAGAGGAUCUUAAAACUUUCCACCUUCUCUACUACUGUCCCGUUAAUGUGGAUGGGGGGGUCUCCCUCUGCUGUUUCCUGAAGUCCACGAUCAUCUCCUUUGUUUUGACGUUGAGAGAGAGGUUGUUUUCCUGACACCACACUCAGAGUGCCCUCACCUCCUCUCUUUAGGCUGUCUCGUCGUUGUUGGUAGUCAAGCCAACACUGUUGGUGGAAAAUACUUAUAUUAUACUUAUUUUCCACCAUAAUUUGCAAAUAAAUUCAUUCAAAAUCCUACAAUGUGAUUUUCUGGAUUUUUUUUUCUCAUUUUGUCUGUCAUAGUUGAAGUGUACCUAUGAUGAAAAUUACAGGCCUCUCUCAUCUUUUUAAGUGGGAGAACUUGCACAAUUGGUGGCUGACUAAAUAGUUUUUUGCCCCACUGUAUGGUUUCCAGUUUACAUAGAGUCCACCGUAGGCAGACUACCUUCCUUGAGGGCCGUUGUGGUAUAAGCUUGAGGGGGGAUAUACACGGCUAUGACAAUAACUGACGAGAAUUCUCUUGGGAGAUAAUAAUGUCGGCAUUUGACUGUAAGAAAAUCUUGGUCAGGUGAACAAAAGGACUUGAGUUCCUAUAUAUUGUUAUGAUUACACCAUGAGUUGUUAAUCAUGAAGCACACACUGCCGGUGGAAGAAACCCGGUGACUGUACCGACUCUGAUAACAUAUCCCGAGAGAGCCAUGUUUCUGUGAAACAGAGAAUGUUACAUUCUCUGAAAGGCAACCCUUGCCCUAAUUUCGUCCAUCUUGUUGUCUAGAGACUGGACU